GUCAUUUAUUUUAUGCUCCCAUUUCCCUUUGAAGGAUUUUCUAUCUUCCUGAUCGUCAACUUCCUGAGAACUGGCUGUGAUUUCAGAAACAUGGGGUGGUCCCCUCACAAGCCAGGUACUGGGGAAGGUGAUUAUCUGAAGACAGUUUUUGCAAACAUUAAAAUGCUGUGUCUGAAUCAGGAAAGGAGACACAUGACCAGUCAGUAGGUUCUCUGGGGAUCCUCAUCUGCUCAGACACCUUGAAAACGACAGCCAUCAAGUGUCUAGGUGCUGUGAGCUGGGCUGGGAAGGAGGGAGCAGGGAGGGAGAAAUGCCUGCAGUAAUGAAAGCCCAUCCUCAGCUCUUCUGCAUGCCUCUUGCAUUUUGGCAAGGGGCAUUUGGCCAGAUUUCCCAAUACUCAGCACCCAUAAUUGAAGCCAGAGUUUUGCGUGCUUAUCUCCCAUUGUAACCCCUACCGCAAAUGUCCUGGAUGCCUCUGAAAAAUCUGUCCUUGGCUGUGUUGUGCAGAGCUUGUCUGAAAAUCUGUAAUAGCACAGGAGACUUCAAGGCACAACGCUAGUCCUGGGAAGCCCCUUUUCUACAGUCAGUACAAUGGCCUAUGAUUCGGUCUCUGACCAGCCCGUGUAAGUGGUACAGCAUCAUGUCUGAAAUAAUCCAAAUGUUAAUACAUUUUCACAAGGGGGAUAUGAAUUAGGGUAGGCAGAGCAGCCCAUCUGACCUGCUAAACACCAAAGCACUCAUCUUCGUAAGGACUUUAUGUCUAUCAAAGUGAGUUCGUUACUGUUCCAUAUUUUCUGGCUACUGAGUGCACUACGGAUCAGCAAAGGAAGAUAAACGUGGAACAGAGAAAUAUCCACAUUCCUGCACUAAUCCAGGAUGCUGAACCAAGCCUGACUCAGCUGGUGGCUUCUGAUUUGCAUAAUUGAUCCUCAAUAUGCUAAAAGCCAUGGAAAUGAAGCAUAAAGGACUGUCUGCACCCCAGGCUGGGGAGGGAAUGUUCUCCGCUAGAAACUACCUUCCUGCCCCCGCGAAAUAUAUUACCAAACACAACCACAAUGAGACGACCUUUGUGAAGCCGUGACUGUGUUGCUCUUCAAGCCAGCACUGGGGAGGGUCUUCCUCCCACUUGUUAACAGGAUAACCCUUGUUAAAGCCCACAGUACUUUACUAUGCCUGUUGUAUGAUAUAGUGUUUCAGGCUACUGCUGUGGUACCUGUUCCUAAGGGAUGAUCUGACCCUAAAAUUAAAGGGACACAGGACAGCCACAUUUUAUACCCUGGGGCAGUGCAUUCUCCUUGUAGCUAGUGUGCUGACAGCCAUAAAUUUAAAUCAGUCUAAAUUCAUCUACCUUGAGUAACUAAAAGAACAAGCUACUCCAUCUCCAUGGAAGUUGCCUCUCUGACCUCUGCUGUGACCCACCCCCCCAUGUGAGAGUCGCAUGUGGGUUUGGGCUCUGUGUAUGAAGGACACUUUGGUUACCAUCAUUUUGAGCUUGGAUGUUGAGAUUGGCUGGGCUCUCUCAUAAGAAAUAUUGGUGAACUGACUCUUCUGGGAAGGCACCUUGAUUUUGUAAUUUGCUCCCUCCUGAUGCCUGCCAGAGCCAGACUUGCUCACCCUGCAGGCUGUGGCAGAGCCCACCUUUUCCCCACGCACAUGGGGAGCUGGGUUAUACUGGAAACAGGAGGUGUGCAUUAGGGACAUUGACGGGCUUGUGGCAAAUUCCAAAUGGCAAGAGAUGACCACCGCAAGGCACUGAUCGUUUCAGUGGAGGACUGUCUUAACUUGAUGGGAGGGACAGUGGUCACUAAAACCUAAACAACUGCAGAAACAAACAAACGCAGGGCUGGGGUCAGAGCCCCCAGCAUCCGAGGGGCAACAGGGGAUGCAGUGCUGGGUCUGGGGAACACCCCAUGUAAUAGAGAAACGCCAGCGGGGCAGUAAAGAGCCACCUUAUCUCGGCAGUCAAAAUCCCCUGUUCACAUUCCCUGAAUGCGCAUGCCACCCAGCCUCUGAGGUAAUCCUGGAUUCCAGCCGCGUGGUCUGGCUACCUUGUUAAUACCCCGCAGGGGACAGCGGUGGUAUUGGCUGUCUACAGUAAGGCGGCAGACGAUCCUUGUACACACAGCACGUACCCCCUCAGCUGUGUGCGGCCUGGAAAGGCACAGUAUGGCUCCAGGCCCUUCAGAACUUGCCCAUUCUGACAGCAGCUUUGAC